GUGAAUCAUCGAAUCUUUGAACGCACAUUGCGCCCGCCAGUAUUCUGGCGGGCAUGCCUGUUCGAGCGUCAUUUCAACCCUCGAGACCCCUCCGGGGGACUCGGUGUUGGGGACCGGCCCUGCCCAGCAGCGGGCGCCGUCCCCUAAAUACAGUGGCGGUCUCGCCGUAGCCUCCCGUGUGCAGUAUCUUUCAGAACCUCGCACUGGAGCUCGGCGCGGCCACGCCGUAAAACCCCGACUUUUCAAUGGUUGACCUCGAAUCAGGUAGGGAUACCCGCUGAACUUAAGCAUAUCAAUAAGCGGAGGA
rnacentral:misc_RNA from 1 species